rnacentral:rRNA from 1 species
GAUGAACGCUGACAGAAUGCUUAACACAUGCAAGUCUUUGGCGAAGCUGUGCUUGCACAGCCUAGCCAAGGCGGACGGGUGAGUAACGCGUCAGGAACUUGCCCUGCAGUCAGGGAUAACAGACGGAAACGACUGAUAAGACCUGGUAAAGUCAGGCGGACUCAUGUCCAGCCUGAUGAAAAGAGAUGCUGCAGGAGAGCCUUGCGUCCUAUUAGCUUGUUGGUGGGGUAACGGCCCACCAAGGCGAUGAUAGGUAGCCGGCCUGAGAGGGUGGACGGCCACAAGGGGACUGAGAGACGGCCCUUACUACUACGGGAGGCAGCAGUGGGGAAUAGUGGACAAUGGGGGCAACACUGAUCCAGCAAUUCUGUGUGCACGAUGAAGGUUUUCGGAGUGUAAAGUGCUUUCAGCAGGGAAGAAAAAAAUGACGGUACCUGCAGAAGAAGCGACGGCUAAAUACGUG